CUACUAAGAAGCAAAAAAAAACCUCUCCCUCUCACUUUCUCUUAACCCAUUUACUUAAAAGUUCUUGAACUCCUCUUCAAGUUUGUUGCAUACAUGUUGUAAGAUAUCCAAGUUUGUAUGUGACCCACAUAUAUGGACAGACAAAGGACUGGAGUGAGCCUAUUAUAAUGUCUUUUUCUGGUGGGGAAAAUUGUUUAAUUGAGAUUAUACACACAGACAUACACAAUAAUAAACAUAAAAAGGAAGAAUAAAAAAUUAUAGGGAACAAGAGAAAAAAAAAAUAAAAAAACAAAAAUAAACAUAAAAAUAAAAUUAUAUGGAACAAAACUAAAAUUAUAC